CAGAACUGGGCUAUCCAGAUAACGACUUCAACAGACUUGGCCCGAGGCCGACAACUUUUUCGGGACAAAGAGCACUUGAUUUUGUUUUGAGGAACCAGGGCUUAAUUGACAAAACUCUGCUGUUCGACAUCGAGCUUCUCAAAAUCCUCCCCAACUAAUUCCGCCUACCAGGGGUACAUUGAUGAGAUUUUUCGGCAGAAAAAUUUUAAGAACUUGAUGACUCCCUUUUCUUUUGUACAGUUUUUCUGUGUUCUUCACUCUGGUAGGCUGAACUAUUAUUUCGUGUGUUGUCUACUGUUAUUGUAAAUGUCUGCAAGAAAAUGCUUGAGAAAUCAGUCUUCCUGUUAGAGAAAAGUUUCUUCAUUCUGUCACAGCUAUUUUUUGUGUACUUGACUAGAUGUUUUUGGAUUUCUUUGAUAAUAUGUGGAGUUUCCUCUUCAGAUA